rnacentral:pre_miRNA from 1 species
CAUCAUCAUCGUUUAAUUUCUGUUUUCCAGUUUGAUAAGAGUCAAGAUUAAAACUUGACUCUUAUCAAACUGGAAAAAAGAAAUUAAACGAUGAUGAUCG